GUUGCAUGCGCCGGUCCCAUCGAACGAAGCUCUGCGAGUGAGAAGACAGAGACGGUCGGCAGCUUGUGCCGGCUUUACCUGACCAGCCUCUCGGAAGUGAGCUAUCUACGGGGGAAGCUGUGACCUGAGGAUUCUAUGUUCUGUCAUGAGGAAAAUCUGCAGGCCCCGGGCCAUCGUCUUCCUUUUAGUGCAACUCAUCCUUCAGCUACGAGUUCACGUUUUGUAUACCCACAGACAAUUGGCACUUCUUAAGACUGAAUAAUUCAGUAAGCAUAGAGCAGGCCCGCUCGAAGGACAGGCCAACCAGCCAGAGAGUAAUAGCUUUAGCAUAAACAACACCUCCAAACUUGCACUCUUCCAAUAAUUGUCUGACAAGGGGAGGGGUGGUUGCCCAGACACUGCAUAGCUUGCUGAAAAAAAGGCCCCAGAAACAGUCUGAAUCAGCAAAGAUCAAUGGCGAAACUUUCAGCCAUCCACGUGGUCCUAUCGCGGUGGCUCCUUGCACGCUGAGCAUGGAAAAUAAGAUGCAUGUUAGCCAAUGGAAAGUCCAAUCUUUUCCCAUUUUCCUUAGAGCACUCCACUAUUAACAUGAGGGCAGCGCCUGUGGAAAAAAAAAAAA